GAGUUUGAUCCUGGCUCAGGAUUAACGCUGGCGGUAUGCCUAACACAUGCAAGUCGAACGGAAUACUAAUUAAGAGAAUCUCACACUAGUGAGAGGUUCUCACGAGUAGUAUUUAGUGGCGGACGGGUGAGUAACACGUUGGAACCUGCCCCGAAGUGGGGAAUAACUGCUCGAAAGAGUAGCUAAUACCCCAUUGUAUCCGGUUUAUCCGGAUUAAAGAUUUAUCGCUUCGGGAGGGGCCUGCGUCUGAUUAGCUAGUUGGUGAGGUAAAAGCUCACCAAGGCGACGAUCAGUAGCUGGUUCGAGAGGAUGACCAGCCACACUGGGACUGAGAUACGGCCCAGACUCCUACGGGAGGCAGCAGUGAGGAAUCUUCCACAAUGGGCGCAAGCCUGAUGGAGCAAUACCGCGUGCAGGAAGACGCUUUUCGGAGUGUAAACUGCUUUUGUCGUCGAAGAUUAUGACUGUAGACGAAGAAUAAGGACCGGCUAACUACGUG
rnacentral:rRNA from 1 species